GGGCUUGAACCUGCCAUCCUCCUGCCUCAGCCUCCCAGAGUGCUCCGAUGACAGGCGUGGAUUCAGAGUUACAAAGCUCACACUAAGAUAGGGCGCUAUGGUUUGGAUGGAGACUCUCCGUGGCUUUGGGCUGUCCUCAGGGUUGACACGGAAGCCCAGUCCCGCUCCACCCCGGGGCCGUGUGGGGGCCGUGUGAGGAUGUGACAUCUGCUCCCCCCCUCCCGCCUUGCUACUUCCUGGAGGACAAAGGUCUCCGGGAGAAAGGGCAGUGUCCAGGCGAGAGUCUGGCCCGGAGCCUGGUUUACACCUUGCUGCGUCUCAGGUGUGAGAGUAGCCAGUGACCAUCAAGCAAGCAAAGCAAAGAAGACUAAUUUCAUGAAGAAAAACAAACCUGUGGUUUACAGGAAGGGAAGGAUACGAUGGUUCAGUUCAAGCAACUUGGAAUCGUUAGCUACAAAAUGUAAAAUGCAAGACAAGUGUCAAAGCAGGACACCGGCAAUGUUUCAAUGGUCUUAGCAUUUCCAACACACCGCAUCAACUGUUACGGGCUGCGCGUCUUCAGUUGCUCCCGAAAUAGCCUUGCGAAUGAAACUCUCAUCAGCUGACCAUUCUUCUGCACGACUUACUGUCCAUGAAUCACGCCAGUGUCUGUAACUCUUCCGGGCCAAGUCAUGAUGGUCCUUUCGUAUUUCAAGACUUAUGACGCGUCCUUGGGAUCCAGCCGCUUCGGACACACGGGAGCUCAUUGCCCCGGAGCGGUCCCUGUUUUCAUCAGUGAUAGUCUUCCAACGCUGGCCUCUGCAGCAUGAUGCGCUUGCCAAGGGAACUCGUCGGGACCUGGCCGGGGGACGCGCCCAUGAUCUCGCUGGACGGGACUAACCCCCAAAUACUAUUUAAGUGUCUGAUGUUGCACAAUGCUACCGACCGUAGGGCAGCAAACACGGGAUUUCACGAGGAGAUACAGGUUCUCUGAAAGGU